rnacentral:rRNA from 1 species
CGGGUGAGUAAUGUAUAGGAACUUGCCUAGUAGUGGGGGAUAACGUGUGGAAACGCACGCUAAUACCGCAUACGCUCUACGGAGGAAAGCGGGGGAUCUUCGGACCUCGUGCUACUAGAUGGGCCUAUAUCAGAUUAGCUAGUUGGUAAGGUAAUGGCUUACCAGGGCGACGAUCUGUAGCUGGUUUGAGAGAAUGAUCAGCCACACUGGGACUGAGACACGGCCCAG